rnacentral:rRNA from 1 species
CCUACGGGAGGCAGCAGUGGGGAAUUUUGGACAAUGGGCGAAAGCCUGAUCCAGCCAUUCCGCGUGCAGGAUGAAGGCCCUCGGGUUGUAAACUGCUUUUGUACAGAACGAAAAGGUUUCUAUUAAUACUAGGAGCUCAUGACGGUACUGUAAGAAUAAGCACCGGCUAACUACGUGCCAGCAGCCGCGGUAAUACGUAGGGUGCAAGCGUUAAUCGGAAUUACUGGGCGUAAAGCGUGCGCAGGCGGUUAUAUAAGUCAGAUGUGAAAUCCCCGGGCUCAACCUGGGAACUGCAUUUGAGACUGUAUAGCUAGAGUACGGUAGAGGGGGAUGGAAUUCCGCGUGUAGCAGUGAAAUGCGUAGAUAUGCGGAGGAACACCGAUGGCGAAGGCAAUCCCCUGGACCUGUACUGACGCUCAUGCACGAAAGCGUGGGGAGCAAACAGGAUUAGAUACCCUGGUAGUCCACGCCCUAAACGAUGUCAACUGGUUGUUGGGUCUUAACUGACUCAGUAACGAAGCUAACGCGUGAAGUUGACCGCCUGGGGGAGGACGGCCGCGAGUAGUAACGUACGAAGUAGAGUUAGACGGCGUGAGACGUAGACCGACGGACGACGACGAGGGAGGAGG